rnacentral:rRNA from 1 species
GAUGAACGCUGGCGGCGUGCCUAAUACAUGCAAGUCGAGCGAACGGUCGAGAAGCUUUCUUCUCUGAGGUUAGCGGCGGUCGGGUCAGUAACAUGUGGACAACCUACCUAUCAGACUGGGUUAACUUUGCCACACCUCAUCUAAUACCGGAUGAUAUUUUGAACAGCAUGGUUCAACAGUUAAAUACGGUCUUUCUGUCACUUAUAGAUGAAUCCGCGCUGCAUUCGCUAGUUGGUAAGGUAACGGAUUACCAACGCAACGAUGCAUAGCCGACCUGAGUGGGUCAGAGGCCACACUGGAACUGAGGCACGUUCGAGACUCCUACGGGAAGCAGCAGUAGAGAUUCUUCCGCGAGGGGUGAAUGCCUGACGGUGCAACGGCGCGUGAGUGAUGAAGGUCUUCGGAUCGUAAAACUCUGCUAUUAGGGAAGUACAAAUGUGUAAGUACCUGUGCAGAUCUUGACGGUACCUAGUCAGAAAGCUCCGGCUAACUACGUG